rnacentral:rRNA from 1 species
ACCCUGAUGCACCAUGCCGCGUGUGUGAAGAAGGCUUCGGGUUGUAAAGCAUUUUCAGCGAGGAGGAAAGGUUGGUAGCUAAUAUCUGCCAGCUGUGACGUUACUCGCAGAAGAAGCACCGGCUAACUCCGUGCCAGCAGCCGCGGUAAUACGGAGGGUGCAAGCGUUAAUCGGAAUUACUGGGCGUAAAGCGCACGCAGGCGGUUGGAUAAGUUAGAUGUGAAAGCCCCGGGCUCAACCUGGGAAUUGCAUUUAAAACUGUCCGACUAGAGUCUUGUAGAGGGGGGUAGAAUUCCAGGUGUAGCGGUGAAAUGCGUAGAGAUCUGGAGGAAUACCGGUGGCGAAGCGGCCCCCUGGACAAAGACUGACGCUCAGGUGCGAAAGCGUGGGGAGCAAACAGGAUUAGAUACCUGGUAGUCCCGCCGUAAACGAUGUCGAUUUGGAAGCUGU